rnacentral:rRNA from 1 species
CCUACGGGUGGCAGCAGUGGGGAAUAUUGGACAAUGGGCGAAAGCCUGAUCCAGCCAUGCCGCGUGUGUGAAGAAGGCCUUCGGGUUGUAAAGCACUUUCAGUGGGGAAGAAAGCCUUGGGGCUAAUACCCUCGAGGAAGGACAUCACCCACAGAAGAAGCACCGGCUAACUCCGUGCCAGCAGCCGCGGUAAUACGGAGGGUGCGAGCGUUAAUCGGAAUUACUGGGCGUAAAGCGCGCGUAGGCGGUCUGAUAAGCCGGUUGUGAAAGCCCCGGGCUCAACCUGGGAACGGCAUCCGGAACUGUCAGGCUAGAGUGCAGGAGAGGAAGGGAGAAUUCCCGGUGUAGCAGUGAAAUGCGUAGAGAUCGGGAGGAAUACCAGUGGCGAAGGCGGCCUUCUGGACUGACACUGACGCUGAGGUGCGAAAGCGUGGGUAGCAAACAGGAUUAGAUACCCCAGUAGUC